GGAUAUAUUGGCAGCCAUUCUUGCUUGCCAAAUGUUGAUGACAUUCUCUGUUUCUUUGACUCAUAAGCUCAUCCAUGCAUUCUCAAAUAGCUACACGUACUAGAAUUGUUGUAAGUUUUCUACCUCCUCUCUUUACUCAUUGUUUUGGAAAAUCCAUGGUUUUCUUUAUGUGAGCUAAUUGCUUACGUUUCUUACUCUCUUUAAGCUCUAUAAAUUGCUGCCUUAUUACCCAUUAAUUUCCAAUUUUAAAUUACACCUUCAAAUUCAAUUUUUACCCAGAAAGUUACAUGUUAUCUUCAUUCUCUCUCCCCUUCGUUUUGACCACCACGGCACCACCCCUUGACCACUGCCGCUGCCACCACCAUCUUCCGGCAACUCUUCCCUUCGAUGAUCAGAACCCAGACCCGGCGUCACUGCCCGUCGCCGGUGUCCACCGUAGCCUGCUAGACCGUGUUUUCCCCUGUUAUUUGUUGAUGUUGCUUCGUUGCUUUCCUGCUAUUGCUUCCACUUUCAUCUUCGGUCAAAAACAAUUCAUAAGAAGUAGGGGUUAGUACUUGUUAGUGAAGUGGGCCAUAAGUUGAUAAGUUGGUGGGCUUUGUGCAUAAAGUUGGUGAUGGAGCUCAUGAACAUUGAUACUGGAGCCCGACUAAGAUGAUUAAGGAUAAUCAAUUGAGGUUCGAUUAAGGAGCUCAAGUUGCUCAAGUCAAAGUUAUUACUGGAGAUGGUAGUUUAUUAUGGAGAUAUCGAGACGAGAAAUUAUUUAUUAUGGAAAUUCUAUUAUUGAGAUUAUUAUUAUGAGAAUAUUGAAUUAUAUUUAUUUUUGGGAAAAUUGUAUUAGUUAAAGGAAUGUUGUUUGAGGAUUAUUUUAUUUGUGGGCCCAUAAUCCACAGGUCCCAGGAUUAAUUAAGCCUAAUUCCGCUGCUAAUGAUGAGUUAA